UGUAAGCGUAUACCAAAGUUGUUGCAGUUAAAACGCUCGUAGUCGGAAUUUGGCAGUUCCGGAUGUGUGCACGUCGUGUGCGCACUUCGCGGGGAUUGCUUUUGUGGUCUUGCGUAGGAUGAGGCACUUUUAUUAGUGAACGUCCUCACGCAACCACUUUUUACUGUGAGAAAAUCAGGGUGCUCAAAGCAGGCAUUUGCCGUGAAUGUAUUAGCAUGGAAUAAUAGAAUAGGACUUGGUUCUAUUUUGUUGGUUUGUUGGGACUGAGUAAUGAUUAAGAGGGACAGUUGGGGGCAUUUGUAUUUCGGCGCUAGAGGUGAAAUUCUUAGAUUGCCGAAAGACAAACUGCUGCGAAAGCGUCUGCCAAGGAUGUUUUCAUUGA
rnacentral:rRNA from 1 species